rnacentral:rRNA from 1 species
AAAAAAAAGACUCUCGGCAACGGAUAUCUCAGCUCUCGCAUCGACGAAGAACAUAGCGAAAUGCGAUACUUGGUGUGAAUUGCAGAAUCCCGUGAACCAUCGAUUCUUUGAACGCAUGUUGUGCCCGAAGCCAUUAGGCCGAGGGGCAUC